CAGCGCUGUCUGGACGGCACAGUGACGCUGGACACGGGCUGUGUGACACUGGUGCCUCACAUAUAAACAAAACACUUCUUGCAUGGCUCUGUGGACCUUUAACAACUAACGUAAACAGUCUCAAUGUGGUUAGAGAGCUGAUAAAAGUACCUAAGGUUGAAAGAGGAUGACUCCAUUGAUGAAAAGUUAAGAGUUGAGUCCGCUGAGAGUGACCUGAAGUGAUAAUUGCAUGCUGCAUGUCUGAUAACCACCCAUCACCCACCUGCACUUCCUCUCAGUUCUGAUGCAUGGCCCCCUCUUUAGAUAUGAAUACGUCUCGCCGUUCCUUGCAUGUUGUGCUGUGAGAGUGGCAUCAUGAGGGAAGACAGGGAUAAUCCUCUGACACUGUCAUCCAAGAAACCAUGCCUGGGCCAGGCGGACUAUGGACGAGAGCUGGAGAAGCUGCGUGCUGAUUGGGAUGCAGAGAAGAAGCUAACGCAGCGGGCCCGUGGACACCUCUCUGUGGAGCUGAGGCACCUGCGGCAAGAAGCAGAGAGGGAACAGCAGAGGGCUGUGAGGGAGCUGGCAGCCAGACGAAGGUGCCAAAAGGACGGGCACUCUAACAGAAACCAGCGUCUGCUGGCUAAGGAGGUGAACAUUAACGACAGUGGACGUCACACUGAAGUCGAGUCCACAGAAAAAGAGGCUUUUUGUUUGUGUGGUGGAGAAACUUACACUAAGCUUGAGCAGUUGCUGCUGACGCUAUAUGAGAAGAUAAAUGGUGAGCAGGCAGUCUAUAAAUUGCAUCACAGGCAGGAAUUGGAGCUAGAAAAGGCCAUCUUCCUCUGCCACCUGCUAGAGGCCCAUGGAAGACUGUUGCAGGGAAGGCAAAGAGCAGGAAAGCCCAGCUACAUUUCUAACAGUCUCUCAAGAAAGCCAACUCUGGAAGACGGUAGUAACUCCUGUCAGACAAAGCCUCUUCUAACCUGCUCCAGGGCCUUGCCACAGAGAUCCCAGACUGCUUCCCACUCACCUAAAAAGAAAACCAAACAAGAUCUGAGAGAGCAGCCUUCAGGGAGGGCCGUCUGUGCAGCUGACCCCUGCACCUCCGCUGCAGUUGUGGACACCUGUCAGAGUGGCUCGCUGACAAUUUGUCACCCUCACAACGCUCCCCAUGCAGGCUGGGACGACCAGCCCCCCUACUGCGCCGAGUCCUCUGGGUCAGACAAGUCAUCGCCCUCCAAAUGCAUGGACAGAAACAUGGAGAACGUCUUAUUCUUGUGAACACGAAAUAUCUCAGGAAGGCCGGGAAUAAUUUCUUCAAAUUUGCCACAAACAUCCACCUGGACUCAUAGAGUCUCAUAGAGUAGAUUGUAGUGGUCAAAUGGGAAGGUCACUGUGACAACAUGUUUUUGGCCACAACACAAGUUUGAUGUUUGAUAAGAUAAAAUGAUGACGUGAUGACAUUUUGGACAGACAUGGAUAGAAACUGCAACUUGACUGGCUGGCAACGUGGUUAUUCUAGUUUGUAAACAAUCUUGUUCAUUUUUAAUAAGAUCAUCUGUGUGUGUGUGUGUGUGUGUGUGUGUGUGUGUGUGUGUGAGAGUGUGAAAGGCAACAAAUGGUGCAUAGCGAGCAGCAGUAAGAUGGAGAAGCAAAACUAUAAGCAACAAUUGGGUUAUUUUAGAGACCAAACACUUGUCCAUUUUGCAGCCUUUUAAGUUGCCAUUAUGAUGCAGGAUAUGUUAAAAAUAGUAAUUAUGACUGCUGUGGUAAAAUACAUGUUAAUGUUGUCUGAGAAGAAGAAUCGCAGGGUGUGAGCAGAGAGGAGGGGUUAGCACGUGUGGGGGAUCUGUUAAUGCCUCUCGUUGGAGUGGCAGAAGUGGGUCAGCGUGUUUCCAUCUCUUACAUUUUGGAUUGAAGUUUUGAUAGAGAGGAAAUUGAAUAAUUAAUCAAAGCUCCGACUGUCGAAACAGCGAUGCCCACUUGCCAAACCUCAUAUUUCUUGCAUGGUCCUGCCCUUGUUAUCCCAGCAACUGGCAUCAGGGCGAUGUCAAUAUUUUAAAAGUGUUCAAAUGGGAAUCCCCUUUUUAACAAGAAUGGACUCUAUUAUUCAUGUGAGUUUAAAGUGUGUAAAAACACAUCCACUGUAGUAUAUUUGUUUUUAACAAAAACAUGCCAAAUUGUUCAUUCCAGUCUGCCACUUUGUUUGCCUUUUCUAAAUAAGCCAUCUGUGCUAUGAACGCUUGAGUUUUUUAGGUUUAAAUGGGAUACUUUAUAUGAAAAAUCUGCAUAUGCAAUUCACUGAGACAAAUAUGUUUAUCAUAAAACCAUUUAAAGUGUCGCUUAUAAAGGAAAACAGUGAGGAAAGAGUUGUGCAUUUGUAUUUUGGCUAUACUGAUGCUGAUACUAAUGUUCUUGGUAUGUUUGGUGUGUAAAUGGAAAAUAGGCUUUUGUGAUUUUCUUAACUACUAUUUGAUAAAAAUGCUAAUUUGCUUGAAUCUGAAAGAAUUUCCACUAGAAAGGUGGAAUAAAACAAAUAAAAGCAAUUAUUUGAAUUGUGUGAUAUGAUGCCACACAGCAGCAGGAAAUGAAGAAAUGAAGGAUGGCCUAUUUGUGAUUGCAACCUG
ensembl:lncRNA